UAAACGCUCUCACCCUAUCAGGUGACAUCGCCUCCGGAAGCCUUCAAGCAGACGGCGAUCGGGGGCGAAGCGGUCCGUCACGCGCCAUGACGACCCCCAGUUUUUGAAGCCGUAGAAUAUGUUGACAACGAUCCAAUAUAAUACUCAACUUUAUGGCUCAUUUUGAAGAUUUGGCAGUCUUUGUGCUCGAUCAUAGAUCAUGCAUACGACUGGCGGUGCGUGUCCAAGAGCAGCUGUAGCAUCAUGUGAAGGAAUUCAGCAAUGUCAUCAUUAUAUGUAGUUUCUUUGGGGAACUUAAGACUCUCAAGAUCAUCAUUCAACUCCUUCACCAGUGCAUCCAGGUAUCUAGCUUCCCCUGUUGCAUGAGGCCUUGUCAUGGCACAGCCUGGUUGCUGGUUUGUAGAACACCAACUGGAAUAUCAAUUUUGAAAAUUUCUUGUGCUGUGUUGCGGAAAUGCUGAUUGUUAAUCAGAAGUUGCAUGAGGAAAUGUUCAUCCUUGGUUGUGGUUCUGAAUCUACACUGAUGGAAGCUUCUUGCUCUGGUAAAGCCUCCAAAGCUGAUUUUAUUAUGUCAUCAUCCUGGGAGAAAAAUGUAUGAGAUGCUAGCAGGCCAAUAAACAGAAUAUAGUGCAAAAGCUUCAUGGAGUUGUGUCCUGGCCAUAAUGAGGUUUUCAUAUUAUUCUAGCAAAAUGAAUUCACAAUGAAUCAGUCAAUUAAUCAGGCAAAAAAGAGAUAUUUUCAUCGCUCAGAGUCAAUGCAGAUCGACUUUGUUGCUUCAAUGCUUGGAGAGAGGAUAACUUACAUUGGUCUCCGCAACUGUCUCCUCUUCUAAUACUUCUUUGUCUUCGCCAGCAUCAACUGAAGAAUUAUCUGAAACCAAGUUGGAAAAUUUACAGGCUUCAUCAAUGUUUUCACCAGAAUUUGAGGCAGCUCUUUAUCAGUUCUUGAAUAUGUCUGUAAGAGCUUCGUAUCUUCAGAGUUCUUAUGUGAUGACGUUCUAUCCAAUUCAACAUAGGCAGAGGUCACCUUCUUGGUUUGAUUUGCUGAUAAGCUGGCGAACUGAUUCAGAUAUGUUUCUUCUCUCUUCUUCUUUUUCUGCCUUUUCUCUCAGUUGUACCAAAUUCUUCUUGGCUAUCCCUUCUUUUAAACUGUGGUUUAUGUCGAUGUUCUCGAUCUUCCUAUUGAUUUCAAGAUGCCUCUUUGGUGCAUGAUUUGACAAUGGAGUCAUGUUCCGUAUAUAAUUUGUCUUCUCCUUGCUGCUUUUGUCCUUAGUUUCGUCAACGCCGUUUUCAUUCAGAAUCUUGUUCUCUUUUCUCACUUUUUCAUCUGCUAUUGACGUCUGACCUAUCACCAUCUCUUUCUUAGACUUCGGUUCUUUCUUUCCUUCAACUUUUUUCCCCUCAGCCUUGGGCAUUGGAAGUUCUUCAAGGCCCAUAAGUUUAGCAACAAUAUUUGGCAUUCUUACACUGCUGCUCACCAGGCUUUUAGGAUCCAACUGCUUGGUGUUCUUUGAAGCAGAGAACUUGCCACUACCAGUUGAGAAGUUUCCAGGUUCACCACCAUGGCCUUGUUUGUGUGUAAUGCCUGAAUACAAGGAAUUAGGUAGCGAUCCAGGACCACAACUCAGAGACUGUUUGUGUGUAUCGACUUGCGUUGAUGCAUCUAAUGAACUCUGACUAUAAUUUGUUUUGGCUAUGCUUUUUUUCAUAGAAGAUGAUGGCGUUUUUCUCUGCCCUUGAAUUCUGGUAUCAUCAUUUGCUUUGGUGAAUUUGUAGAAAUGGUUGAUGGACCCAUCAAAAGAAAUUCUGGGCUUGUACAUUAGAGCCUUCCGAUUGUCUUUGACGUCAGAUGUUUCAUCGUCUUCCACACCCUCGAGCAAUUUGAUCUGCCUCCCUUGAGAGCCAACCAUGUAAUCUGAAGCCUCCUGCAGGGUGGCAAGCAUUUUCAAUGACUCUUCCAAAUCUAUGGCCCCUUUCAACAAUUCUCUUCCAAUCUGAAUUGAAUCCUUUCCAAAAUUUGUCCUAUCGGAGAAGGUUUCGAGGAUCUUAUUCAAUUUCUGAACACCUUUUGAUAUUUCACCGACUUGCAAGUUGGAUAAAAAAGGAUAUCGAUCGGCAUGAUGUUUCGUGCUGUAUAACAAGUGUUGAUUUGCAGUUCCUGCAUAAUAUAUAGAUCCACUCUGUGGAAUGAGCUCGUUACCAAAUUUAGCUAUGUAAUGAAGUUUUCCACUAUUACUGAGUGCCAGUGCUAGUGCCAUUGACACAUCGACAGAAUUCUGAAUGCUUGUGGCUCUUCCAACAGGAACAAUCUCCCGUGAAACAACUUGAGGAGCAGCUGUUUUGUUAUGUUUGGUGCUGAGCCAUAUUUCCGUCACUUGUGCGCUGACCGGAUUCUUGCUGCUCUGCAAACUCUGCCAACAAGAACAAAAAUAACAUCACUGAAUGGUGCAUACAGCCGAACAUAUUCCAUUAUUUAAAAAGUUGUGUUUAAGGAACUUGCAUAGUUCUUCUUCUUCAUUAUGUCUCCUGUUCCUCUGGACGACCGUCGGGAGCUGACAUGAUACUCUACAAUAUUAUUCAAAGAAGAUGAUUAACAUGUCGAGCAUAUAAUUCUCAAGCCAGGGAUAUAUAGGAUAUCUUUUAAAAAUAUCAUCAUUUGUGUUAUUAUGCCGGAAAUGGCACUGAUAUGCAUUUCUUGUUGCAAAGGCUGCUGCAUCUAUGCCCAAAAUAUGGAAUGAAACAGCGAAGAUGCAGAAUUAUUUCAAGCAUAGAACAAGCUCGUCUGAUGAAGGGAUCUUAGGUCCUCCUAAGAGUUCUGUUCAGAAGACCUUGUUUCAGAGUAUCUUGUUCAAACGGAUCAUGGAGGAAGCUGUCUACCCCAUUCACCGAAUAAGCAGGUGGCUGCGCCGGUUGCUGUCCCGAUGACGAUGCAACAUAUCCCAGCUUCUCCUUCCUCCUCCUGAUGUCAUCCAACAGCUUCUGUGCAAAAUCCGGUCGCUUCGCCAUAGACACACUCUUCUUCUUUCUCCUGUUAACCUUGUCGCCGCACCGUGGAGUUCUCCAUGGCCUUCACCUUGAGAUAUCCGGUGGAGAUCAGCGUGAUGGUUAUUUGUUUCACCGACGCAGAUUCUGCAGCUGUUGCUGCAUGAGUGCGUCCGCGUCUGUCUUGGCUCCAUUCCAAGCAAAGCAAGAGGCCUUCUCCUUGCGGAAGACUUCUUCCCAAGCUUGCACGCAAAGCUUCUUCGGCUGAGGAAGUGGGAGGUCUUGUAAGAGGUGGUGUGUCGUCGCAUGGGCGGUGAAAUGCCGGUGUCGAUGUUACGUCUCCUCCUUUUUUUGUUUUAGCAGCCAAAAACCCGCCAUGGAUUGUGUUGAUCCAUCUAUUGGAGCCAUGACAUCUUUUAGCUUUGAAGGAUUCAUCCCAACCACCGUUUCGACUAAUCUGAUGGACUUUACCUCGAAGAUCUCGAUUCUUUAUCUGUAGUAUGAAUUGUUAAAGUUAUGGCAAUGGGGCCAAACACCAUAGUAGGAUGAGGACACUGAAAAGUACAGUUUACCUGUUCUGAUGAGUUGGAUAGAAUUAGAGAGAUUUCUUUA